rnacentral:misc_RNA from 1 species
AUUCAUGCGCAAUUACUUUGCGGUUUUCUUACCCGGUAAAGCAGAAUGUUUUAUAGAUACGAAUAGAAAGCGACAGGCAAGGUCCCCCUUACUAAAACGGGCAACACUUUGGAGACACUCGUUGUGAGCUGAUAUGAUGAGUAACUUAACAGCCAUGAUUGAAGACAACAGCACAAGUAAUGCGUCUAACGACCCAACCUCCAGGACAGGCACAUCUCUGUACAGCAUUCCUCUCACCACCAAGACUGUCAUGACAUCAGCGUAUACCAUUGCUUUCAUACUCGGGUUGCUAGGCAACGGGUUAGGCUUGUUCAUCGUCAUCAAGCGGUCAAGGAAAAGCUUCUGCAGUACCAACGUCCUCAUAGGGAACAUGGCACUGGCAGAUUUGUUGGUGACAGUCUUUGCGAUGCCUCAAUCCGUAGGAUUCCUGUAUAUACAGAACAAAUGGUUUGGAGGGAUAGCUGGAAACAUGGCCUGUAAGUUGGCGCACUUCCCAUAUGUAGUCACAAUCGCCGCAUCCAUCCUAACCAUCCUCUGUAUCUCCAUAGAGCGCUACUGUGCCGUUUUCUAUCUCCUUAGGAAUUCUAUUUUCAGACGAUCCAAGUUUCUAACAGCCCUCAUUUGGGGGUUUUCUUUGGCUCUAGCGUCUCCGUAUUUGUUUUCAUACACUGUGACCCAGGACACCAACGGACAACAUUACUGUGUCGUGGAAUGGGGCGACAUAGAAACGACCUACCAAUCACAACGCAUUUACUAUUUGUUUAUCUUCAUCUUCUUGUACGCCCUGCCAUUGAUUUUUAUAAGUGUAUUAUACACACUUAUUGCCAGGAAGUUGUGGAGAAAAACGACUCCAAGGGAUGGCACCAUAGCCACAAGGAAGUCGGCGGUGACACAGAAGCGCAAAGUCAUACGUCUUCUUAUUGUCCUGGUGAUAGUGUUCGCUGCCUGCGCGGCACCGGCUCACAUAAUGCACUAUUACAUGUUCUACGACCAAGCUAAUUGGAUGGUCAUUCCCAUUGAGAUCAAGUUGAUAUCGUUCUGGAUAUCCCAAAGUAAUAGCACCAUCAACCCAGCUAUCUACAUCCUGCUAAACGAGUCAUUCAGGCGGGAGUUUUUCCGGCUGACACAAAGCGCGAUGUGCUUACAAAAUUCAGCUUUUCGAGUUUCAUCGACGAAGACGACGAAGAGAACGUGGAAGAUGAAACGAACAAUGAGUACCAGGUAUUGGAUGCCUGGAAAGAAAAGAGAAGCGUGCUUGUAGUGAAGUGCGGUGCGGAUAUAGAUAUAAUGUUCCUGUAGCUUGUGGGGUAAUGUUCGUGCGACCAACAUCUCAACAGCGUAGCCAGUGCUUGCCAAGUAUUACAUAAAAAGAGACGCAUGCUUGUAGUGAAGUGCGGUGCGGAUAUAGAUAUAAUGUUCCUGUAGCUUGUGAGGUAAUGUUCGUGCGACCAACAUCUCAACAGCGUAGCCAGUGUUUGCCAAGUAUUACAUAAAAAGAGACGCAUGCUUGUAGUAAAGUAAGGUGUGGGUAUAGGUAUUUUGUUUCUGUAGCUUGUCCUCGCAAUGCUCAUUAGGGCUCACAGCUUUGACAGUGUUUGAGUAUAGUCUAGUUUCAAAGGUAGCUUCUUCAAUAAGACCAUCGAGAUAUAAGGUAAAAAACAACGAGAUAAAAGGUUGGUCAGCGUGAUCAAAUGUCUUAUUACUACCAAAACACAAUAAAACAAGAUCUUGAUUCCAGACGCAUGAAUUAAACAUAUUCCAAAAAUAAUCUUACACUUCACCAAAGUAGUUGCACUCCCAAGUGCUGGUGGCAAGCAAGGCACAUCAGUGAUGGCACUGACGAAAUCUCUAUCUUGAAGUGUGUUCCUGUUUAAUCUAUAGAUUGCAGUAAAUGUAGUUCCAUUCCAAAUGGCUAAAGGCUUUAUCGAUAAUGUUCAAUAUUACAUUGUAAUAGUUAUGGGAGUCCGUCAGCUGAUUUCAAAAGUGAAUUAACGGAGAACAACGACUCUCGCAUUCCAUGCUGCAUUUGCGUCAAGCAUUUCCUAGAUAAAAGACGGCUAUGGUUUUAACAAAUGAUGGCUUCAGAAAUAAAGUUCUUGAGUGACUAAGCUGUGUUGGAAUCACGGUUUUCCAAGAACAGUUACCGCAAGAUUUGAAAGUCUUUCAAAGUAAACCAAUGAAAUAACCCUUGUCGACGUCGACGUCUGUAUAUAGACAUGCUUUGGGAUGUCUCGAACCAAGUAUUUUGAUAAAGGCUUUAUUUUGCAUAUUUGAACUGCACGCUUUGAUCCAUACAGUAUACAGUUGAGUGCUCUGGUCUGUACUCUUACAGCUCUGGUCUCCUCAAUCUUUAUCUCUGAAUCCAUACAGUAUACAGCUGAGUGCUCUGGUCUGUACUCCUUGCAAAGUCACGUGAGGGCGGCCAUGUUGGAUGACUCAAAUUUUUAUUUAACAAAUUCCUUUCCUAUACACACCUAGGCUUAGUUUUUAAUCAAGGGUCUUAUUUCGAAGAGACUGGUGGCGUCUCGUCCAUUUGUUGUCGUGGAGGUCUGGGUACACGUCGCUGUUUUAAGUUUGACGUCACAGCUGCACCAAUAACAUUUUCGAUAAACUUCUGCAUGUUGCGCACAUCUUCUUGAUCGACGAAAGUCUCUGGAAAACGAUAGCUGAAAAAAAAAAACAAGAAAUAAAUAAAUGUGCUAGAAAGCGCGCUAUCUAGAGAGGUCAGAUCAAACGAAUUGUAGCAGAGACCACACUCUCAGAUACCUGUCAUUCUGACUGCGCAUGCUCGACGAAUGCAUUCUAUCGAGCAUGCGGUAGUAAUGGAAGACCGUGACAUAGUUUUGUACAACGGCAGCGCAAGCUUUUGUUGUCAGUUUUAAAAUAUGCUUGUAGUAUACAGGGAACCUUUGUAGGUCUAAUACGUACAGUUUAACUCUUUAUGACCUAAUUAUUAUUUAGAAUAAACCUUUGUAGUGCGAUAACGCAGUUCUCCGUCAUAGAGAAAGGAAUAGCACGCUUCCAAUGUAUGCGUCGCUUGUCAUGCACAAAGGUUUCAGCACGAGGCUACGUGCUAAAUUACUAACUUAUUCAUUUCUCCUGUAACCAGUCCAUGAGCAAUAUGCACAAUAUGCCUCACACUGAAACCUUUGUGCGUUAAUACAAGUGAAGCAUAUAUUUCGGAAGUGGGCUAUUUUAGGCGACUGUAAAUAUAGGUCAUUGUAAGCAUUAUUUGAAUGGAAUUUUCUGUUUAAAACGAGUUCGCUCGAGUUUUAAUUAAUUCUUUAUUCAAUAAUAUCAGAACUUAGGAUUAUAGUUUAAUGAAACUAAAUACAGCCAAGGCUCGUUACUUUUUAAUUUGUUUUUAAUUAAAUAACUCAUAUUUUCUCAACUGAGGAAAAAUACGCUCAAAAAUUAUUCGUAUGACUUAUAUAAUUGUAGGUUAUGAAAAAAAAAAACAGUUUUGAGCAGGAAUAAUUUAAUAUGAGUAUUAAUUAAUAUUAUUACUGGUUUGAAUGUUAAAAAGUUGCUUUGCAGCUAGGCGCUGACAUCAGACACUCAAAACAUGUUUUAACUGACUUCUGAAACUUGUAUCUUUGUCGGCUAACUGAAAAAUUUUAACGUUUGUCGAUUUCAAAGGCAGUCAAAGUUUCGAUGUCUGAUAUCGCGCCUAGAUGCAAACGACAGUAUUUAGUUAUAGGCAUACAAUGGUUAACAUUUAGUAGGUAUACUUUGUGGAUUUAAAAAACGGCAUCAUUUGACACUGCUUUAUUUAUUGAUAAUAUAGUAUAAUUAAAGUGCAUCAAAGGAAAUUCUAAUUUGCAAUGGCGUACCCCAAGAUUUAUCUUGGGACCAUUUUAUUAAUAAGUUAAGAUAUGUAAGCUAUUCUUAUUGACAACCGUAUGUAUACCCCAGCUUUUAAUUGGGACCGUUUUAUUGAUAAGUUAAUAUAACUCGCAAUAAAAAGAUUUGACGUCUAAAUCAAAUCAUAUUUUAUUAUUUAUUAUUUUUAUAUCUUAUUUUAUUUAUACAAGUUAAACUAGAAGCUUGUGGGGCCGUGUAUCCUCCACUCUAUACACACAACCAUCAACUCACACGUCGUGUUUUUACGGAGGGAGGAAAACUGGAGAACCCGGAGAAAAACUUGUAGCACAGAAGAGAACAACACAUUAAACAAACUCAACUCACAUGCUAGCUUGGUCUAGUCUAGGUUACUUUUGAAAAUAAAUAGGAUGUUUGUAUGAUGGCGUCAUUUGACUCCCACUACCAUAAUGUUCGCGAAUUUUCUUUCUUAUCACAGUUGGUGCUAGUUUACUGAACAAAAGAGAGUGUGUAAGGCAUUUUGGUAGUAGAGGUCAAUGACGCCAUCAUNCAAACGUCCUAUUGUCUUGAAAAAGGGCGUAUGCAAAAGCUAAGGUAAUUAGACCACGGUUUCAAAAAUGCAAUUUUGAAUUCCUUUUUUAAAAAUAAUUAGUGUGAAGUAAAAUUGUAGUACAUUCGGAAAUUAUAAGGGUUGUUGUAUACAGAGCAUAUGUGUUUUUAAUUGCGCCAAUAAAAGAAGAUUAAAUCUC